AGUGAACGCUGGCGGUAGGCCUAACACAUGCAAGUCGAACGGCAGCACAGUAAGAGCUUGCUCUUACGGGUGGCGAGUGGCGGACGGGUGAGGAAUACAUCGGAAUCUACUUUUUCGUGGGGGAUAACGUAGGGAAACUUACGCUAAUACCGCAUACGACCUACGGGUGAAAGCAGGGGAUCUUCGGACCUUGCGCGAUUGAAUGAGCCGAUGUCGGAUUAGCUAGUUGGCGGGGUAAAGGCCCACCAAGGCGACGAUCCGUAGCUGGUCUGAGAGGAUGAACAGCCACACUGGAACUGAGACACGGUCCAGACUCCUACGGGAAGCAGCAGUGGGGAAUAUUGGACAAUGGGCGCAAGCCUGAUCCAGCCAUACCGCGUGAGUGAAGAAGGCCUUCGGGUUGUAAAGCCCUUUUGUUGGGAAAGAAGAGCAGCAGGUUAAUACCCCGCUGUUCUGACGGUACCCAAAGAAUAAGCACCGGCUAACUUCGUG
rnacentral:rRNA from 1 species